rnacentral:lncRNA from 1 species
GGAAGAUUCUCAGAAAUCUCCUGUAGUUUUAAUCAUGUCUCAUAAAGACUCGAAGGAGGACUUCAGAACUGGUUCAGAAAAUGGAAGAAUGAUGGGUUCCCACAUCCAGACAGUGUUUCCUCUAGGCAAGGGGUGCUUCUGCUCCUCUCCCAAGAUGUCUUGCCACUGUGCAGGUGUAUGUGCAUGUGUGUGUGUACUUUCUCCAUCCUAGAAAUUCAAUUUCUGCCACUGCCUUUGUUUGCUGGCCCCUAUGUAUCCUCAGAAUCCCACACAGUGAAGGCUGCGAGAUCCAAGGAGCAGGAUCCAUGCCACAUUCUCAGCCUGGAUGGCACACAGAAGAGAGCAAAUCACAUGAACAUGGAGGGUGAGCUCCAGCUUCAGGACAGCACCCCUGUUAACAUAUGUUUGACACACAUUAAUACACUUG